rnacentral:rRNA from 2 species
CUCGUAGCUUGCUAUGAGAACAAUUAGUGGCAGACGGGUGAGUAAUGCAUAGGAAUCUACCUAGUAGUAUAGGAUAGCCACUAGAAAUGGUGGGUAAUACUGUAUAAUCCCUGCGGGGGAAAGAUUUAUCGCUACAUGAUGAGCCUAUGUUAGAUUAGCUAGUUGGUGGGGUAAUGGCCUACCAAGGCAGUGAUCUAUAGCUGGUCUGAGAGGAUGAUCAGCCACACUGGAACUGAGACACGGUCCAGACUCCUACGGGAGGCAGCAGUGGGGAAUAUUGGACAAUGGGCGCAAGCCUGAUCCAGCUAUGCCGCGUGAGUGAGGAAGGCCUUAGGGUUGUAAAACUCUUUCAGUGGGGAAGAUAAUGACGGUACCCACAGAAGAAGUCCCGGCAAACUCCGUGCCAGCAGCCGCGGUAAUACGGAGGGGGCAAGCGUUGUUCGGAAUUAUUGGGCGUAAAGGGCAUGUAGGUGGUUUGGUAAGUUAAAGGUGAAAUGCCAGGGCUUAACCCUGGAGCUGCUUUUAAUACUGCCAGACUGGAGUCCGGGAGA